rnacentral:rRNA from 1 species
GACGAACGCUGGCGGCGUGCUUAACACAUGCAAGUCGAACGGAAAGGCCCUGCUUUUGUGGGGUGCUCGAGUGGCGAACGGGGGAGUAACACGUGAGUAACCUGCCACUGACCUUGGGAUAACUUCAGGAAACUGGGGCUAAUACCGGAUAGGAGUUCCUGCUGCAGGGUGGGGGCUGGAAAGUUUCGGCGGUUGGGGAUGGACUCGCGGCUUAUCAGCUUGUUGGUUUGGUAGUGGCUUAGCAAGGCUUUGCAGGGUGGCCUGCCUGAGAGGCGGAGCGGCCCCAUCGCGCUUGGACUGCGACCCGGCCUCGACCGGGAGGCAGCGGUGCAGUGUAGUGCACAGUGGGCGGAGGCCUGGUGCGGCAACGCCGCGUGCGGGAAGACGGCCUUCGGUUUGUAUACCACUUUCGCCUGUGACGAAGCGUUAGUGACGGUACUGGGUGAAGAAGCACCGGCUAACUACGUG